rnacentral:rRNA from 1 species
UACGUAGGGUGCAAGCGUUAAUCGGAAUUACUGGGCGUAAAGCGUGCGCAGGCGGCUUUGCAAGACAGAUGUGAAAUCCCCGGGCUCAACCUGGGAACUGCAUUUGUGACUGCAAGGCUAGAGUACGGUAGAGGGGGAUGGAAUUCCGCGUGUAGCAGUGAAAUGCGUAGAUAUCUGGAGGAACACCGGUGGCGAAGGCGGCAUCCUGGACCGAGAUUGACGCUGAUGCGCGAAAGCCAGGGGAGCAAACGGG